AGGACGAACGCUGGCGGCACGCCUAACACAUGCAAGUCGAACGGAGAUAUUUGGUUUACUGAGGUAUCUUAGUGGCGGACGGGUGAGUAACACGUGAGCAACCUGCCUUUGAGAGAGGGAUAGCUUCUGGAAACGGAUGGUAAUACCUCAUAACAUAAUUGGAAGGCAUCUUCUGAUUAUCAAAGAUUUAUCACUCAAAGAUGGGCUCGCGUCUGAUUAGAUAGUUGGUGAGGUAACGGCUCACCAAGUCGACGAUCAGUAGCCGGACUGAGAGGUUGAACGGCCACAUUGGGACUGAGACACGGCCCAGACUCCUACGGGAGGCAGCAGUGGGGAAUAUUGCACAAUGGGGGAAACCCUGAUGCAGCGAUGCCGCGUGGAGGAAGAAGGUUUUCGGAUUGUAAACUCCUGUCUUAAAGGACGAUAAUGACGGUACUUUAGGAGGAAGCUCCGGCUAACUACGUGCCAGCCGCCGC
rnacentral:rRNA from 1 species